rnacentral:rRNA from 1 species
GAUGAACGCUGGCGGCGUGCCUAAUACAUGCAAGUCGAGCGAACGGGCGAGAGGCUUGCUUCCCUGAUGUUAGCGGCGGACGGGUGAGUAACGCGUGGAUAACCUACCUAUAAGACGGGUAUAAGUUCGGGAAACCGUAUCUAAUACCGGACAAUAUUUUGAACCGUAUUGAUCAACAGUGAAGGACGGUCUUGCUGUCACAUAUCGCUGGAUCCCCGCUGCAUUAGCUAGUUGGUAGGCUAACGGCCUACCACGGCAACGAUGCGUAGCCGACCUGAGGGGGUGAUAGGCCACCCUGGAACUGGGACACCGUCCCGACUCCUACGGGAGGGAGCAGUAGGGAAUCUGCCGCAAUGGGCGGAAGCCUGACGGAGCAACGGCGCGUGAGUGACGAAGGUCUUCGGAUCGUAACACUCUGUUAUGAGGGAAGAACAUAUGUGUAAGUAACUGUGCACAUCGUGACGGUACCUAAACAGAAAGCCCCGGCUAACUACGUG